rnacentral:rRNA from 1 species
CCUACGGGAGGCAGCAGUGAGGAAUAGUGGUCAAUGGGCGCGAGCCUGAACCAGCCAAGUAGCGUGAAGGAUGACUGCCCUACGGGUUGUAAACUUCUGUUAUAAAGGAAUAAAGUGAGGCACGGGUGCCUUUUUGGAUGGACUUUAUGAAGAAGGAUCGGCUAACUCCGUGCCAGCAGCCGCGGUAAUACGGAGGAUCCGAGCGUUAUCCGGAGUUAGUGGGGUGAAAGGGAGCGUAGCUGGGUUGUUAAGUCAGUUGUGAACGUUUGCGGCUCAACCGUAAAAGUGCAAUUGAUACGGGCAGCCUUGCGUACAGUUGAGGUAGGCGGACUUCGUUGUGUCGCGGUGA